rnacentral:lncRNA from 1 species
AAAAAUCGAGAAAUAUCUGUUGAGUUUAAGAGAUGGCAUGCGCAUUUCAUCCACACACUGGAAUGAACAAGCCAAGAGCUGUGAGGAGGAAAUGAGGGCUUACUUUACUUGCCAAACUGGCAAAAGUCAUCGUCUUCAUCAUGAAUAGCAGGCAUGUUCUGAUUGGCUAGCUAAGCAAAGCUGCAAGAGGAUGUGCUCCGUCCUCUUUCGAGUCGGGAUAAAUGUCCAGCUCCAUAACAAGUUUUGUUUUGUUACUGUUAAUUCCGUGAGUAGCUGUUUUGCUGUCUCGAGAUGGUUGCAGUCUUGCUUCUGUAAAAACCAUAGUUCUGGUUGAAUGAAAAUUCUGCUUGUUUGUUGGCCAAAAGGGAAACUUCAAAAAGAAUCACUAUCUAUCAUUGUCUAGACUCUUAAGCGUGUUUUGUUAUUAAUUGAACUGUGAUUGUGAGUUGUUUGAAUUAAAUUUCAGACAACCCAAUUCAUCUUCCUCUCUCCCUAGUUGUCUUAUCCUUUCAGACUUCGUCG